rnacentral:rRNA from 1 species
GAUCAUGGCUCAGAUUGAACGCUGGCGGCAGGCCUAACACAUGCAAGUCGAACGGUAACAGGAAGAAGCUUGCUUCUUUGCUGACGAGUGGCGGACGGGUGAGUAAUGUCUGGGAAACUGCCUGAUGGAGGGGGAUAACUACUGGAAACGGUAGCUAAUACCGCAUAACGUCGCAAGACCCAAAGAGGGGGGACCCUUCGGGCCUCUUGCCAUCGGAUGUGCCCAGAUGGGAUUAGCUAGUAGGG